AGCAGCCGCGGUAAUUCCAGCUCCAAUAGCGUAUAUUAAAGUUGUUGCAGUUAAAAAGCUCGUAGUUGAAUUUCGGGGUUAGUAGGUUGGUCAUGCCUCUGGUAUGUACUGGUCUCACUGAUUCCUCCUUCCUGAUGAGCCGUAAUGCCAUUAAUUUGGUGUUGCGGGGAAUUUGGACUGUUACUUUGAAAAAAUUAGAGUGUUUAAAGCAGGCUAACGCUUGAAUACAUUAGCAUGGAAUAAUGAAAUAGGACGUUCGAUCCUAUUUUGUUGGUUUCUAGGAUUGACGUAAUGAUUAAUAGGGAUAGUUGGGGGCAUUAGUAUUCAAUUGUCAGAGGUGAAAUUCUUGGAUUUAUUGAAGACUAACUACUGCGAAAGCAUUUGCCAAGGAUGUUUUCAUUAAUCAAGAACGAAAGUUAGGGGAUCGAAGACGAUCAGAUACCGUCGUAGUCUUAACCAUAAACUAUGCCGACUAGGGAUCGGAUGAUGUUAAUUUUUUAAUGACUC
rnacentral:rRNA from 1 species